rnacentral:rRNA from 1 species
GCAGUUGGACAUGGGUGAGCCGAUCCUAAGAGAUAGGGUAGUUCCGUAUGAAAGUGCGCGAUUCUUCGCGCCGCCUAUCGAAAGGGAAGCCGGUUAAAAUUCCGGCGCCAGGAUGUGGAUGAUAGACGGCAACGUAAACGAACCAGGAGACGUCGGCGAGGGCCCUGGAAAGAGUUAUCUUUUCUUUCUUACAGUCUGUCACCCUGAAAUCGAUUUGUUCGGAGAUAGGGUUCCAUGGCUGGUAGAGCUCGGCACUUCUGCCGAGUCCGGUGCGUCCUCGACGGCCCUUGAAAAUCCUGGGGAGCAAACAUUUCACGCCUGGUCGUACUGAUAACCGCAGCAGGUCUCCUAGGUUAACAG